rnacentral:misc_RNA from 1 species
GAUGAAGAACGUAGCGAAAUGCGAUAAGUAAUGUGAAUUGCAGAAUUCAGUGAAUCAUCGAAUCUUUGAACGCACCUUGCGCCCUUUGGCUAUUCCGAAGGGCACGCCUGUUUGAGUAUCGUGAACACCUCAACUCUCAUGGUUUGCCAUGAUGAGCUUGGACUUGGGGGUUUUGCUGGCCUUCGGUCGGCUCCUCUCAAACGGAUCAGCUUUCCAGUGUUUGGUGGCGUCACGGGUGUGAUAACUAUCUACGCCUGUGGUUUUCUGCCAGAUAACCUUCAGCGAUGGAGGUUCGCUGGGGCUCAUAAAUGUCUCUCUUCAGUGGAGACAGCUUUUUGGACGUUUGAUCUCACAUCAGGUAGGACUACCCGCUGAACUUAAGCAUAUCAAUAAGCGGAGGA